AAAAAUCACUUCCCACAAACGUAACCCUAACCCUAUCUCCAGAGUCCCCCCGACUCCCCUCCCACCUCCCGCCGCCGCUAGCCUUCCUUCCCCUCCCCUGUGCUCUCGUCCGCCGCGGCAGGCCCCUGUGCUCCCGUCCGACGCGGCAGGCCCCUGUGCUCCCGUCCGCCGCGGCAGGCACCUGUGCUCCCAGCCACGAUCCCCUGUGCACGUUCAGUGCGGAUCUGGCUGCCGCACUCUCUUCCCACGUUCAGUGCGGGAGGCCAUGGUGUGGGCGCGGGCGACCAUGGCGCGGACGACCAUGGUGUUCAAGGAGAGCGGCGCGCCGUGCCAAAUCAUUUUUGGCACCCGUCCCUGCGCGCCCCCGCUCCAACGAGUACAUGUGACCAAGGAGAACGGGGACAAGGGUGUCGAUGGUGCGCCGCAUUGUCCAUGCUCCACGCCCACAUGACCUACGGCUCCGGAGGAGACCUCGAUGUUCGAUGACAUCCCGCCGGAGCAGCACGCCCUUGUUCCUUCCUUCGUCGGCGGCGGGGGAAAUAGGAUCCACCUGCUCCCUUAUGCUGAUUCCAACCUUCCUGUGCAACCAAGAACCAUGGACCCAUCCAAGGAUAUUGGAGCAGAUGGAGAGCUGGAAGCAGAAACAGGAGAGGCUGCAUCACACAUAAUUGAUGGCGGUAAAGACUAGAAAGGAGAUGGCGACGAUGUAGAUCUACCACUAAUGGAUGAAGCUAGACAUGCACUGUCCAGAAAGGUUCCCAUUCCUUCAAGCCCGAUUAAUCCUUACAGGAUGAUCUUUGUGAUCCGUUUGGUGAUUGUGUAUCUCUUCUUCUUUUGCUAUGAUAUUUAUUAUUCCAGAAAUAUUUCAGCUUGGAUUAAUUGAUAUAAGUAGAGAUAAUUUGAUUACUAAUGAUUAUUCAAAAUUCCUUGGUUGAUAUGUUGAAUUAAUUAGUGAUCAUCCCUGUACGUGUGCAGAAAUAUAAUUUGUAUUUACUAGUGGACCUCCUAACUUGAUGUUCAUUGUAGAAAAUAAUCUAAGAUGUGGUCCUGACAUGGCCAUCAGAUAUUGUGGCAAUAUUGACAGUUUCUUUGACAACAUAUGUUUGGUUUAUUUCCAGUACAAGGCAAGCAAGGGAAAAGAACAAAUAAAUCUUGUAUGGUUGUGUGAUGCAUCUCUUGUUGGUAAACGACUUGUAUUGUCAGCAGCAGUAGCAUCACCUCUUUAUUGUCAGACGUCCAUGACAAGAGUGGCAUAUUGUGCAGAGGAAGAGGAUGAGAAGAAACGUGUCCUCUCAUUCAAACUUUGUUGAACUCUCUUUAUGUGCGAUUGUGCAUUUGUAAAAUUAUUUUGAUGUGCACUUGUUAGGCCUUGAACCUUAAUGUGUGGUGGAAUCGGUGGAUGAUGUAUUGUAUUUCAUGUGAUGUGCUACUCAAAGAAAAUAUACAGUUUAUCUGGAUUAUUUUA